ACUUGCACCAGAAAGAUACCAAAGUGGGCAGAGGGAAGGCCCUGAACCGUUCGAGAAUAAAGUGAAACGUGUCCCUGCAGGUCCGAGAAUUCACAAAGAUGUAAAUGCGGAUUUUAGCAGUAAUGAGCUUCUGGUGACAUGUGGCAAAGUUGUGGGGACUCUGUAUAAGGAGAAAUUAAAUCAAGGCAUCCAUGUGAAGAGCAUACAGAGUACGGAAGGAAAGUGGUUCACUCCCCUGGAAUUUGAAAUUGAAGGAGGCUACGAGAAAUGCAAGAACUGGAGGCAAAGCAUCCGCUGCAGUGGGUGGCCCCUGAAAGAACUGAUAAAGAGAGGAGAACUACAAGACCCACCAAGGAAGACAGAAAUGGUAAUUCUAUCCCGCAGACUCCUGCCAUGACGUUUGAGGCUAUUGUCUACAAAUGGUUGGUUUUCCAUCCCCAUGUGACCCUGUGAAUUUUAAAUUGGCCGACUUGGAUUUGACCGGAUUUGGAUUCGUCCCUUGGUGUUCAUCUAGUUGUUUUACCCCGAUUUGCUUCUUUGAGCAUCAAAUCAUUUGAGGUAGAGACAGGAGCUGAACUUGGGAGCCAUCCCACGAGUGAUCGCUUUUGUCUUUCAGAAGGAAACACCACCAAACUCACAAC
rnacentral:lncRNA from 1 species